rnacentral:rRNA from 1 species
GACGUAGGGCGCGAGCGUUGUCCGGAUUUAUUGGGCGUAAAGAGCUCGUAGGCGGCUUGUUGCGUCGACUGUGAAAACCCGCGGCUUAACUGCGGGCUUGCAGUUGAUACGGGCAGGCUAGAGUUCGGUAGGGGAGACUGGAAUUCCUGGUGUAGCGGUGAAAUGCGCAGAUAUCGGGAGGAACACCGGUGGCGAAGGCGGUUCUCUGGGCCUUACCUGACGCUGAGGAGCGAAAGCGUGGGGAGCGAACAGG